rnacentral:rRNA from 1 species
AGAGUUUGAUCCUGGCUCAGGAUGAACGCUGGCGGCGUGCCUAACACAUGCAAGUCGGACGAACCCGUUCUUCGGAGUGGGUGAGUGGCGGACGGGUGCGUAACACGUAGGUGACCUGCCCUGGAGUGGGGAAUAAUUCCGCGAAAGCGGGACUAAUACCGCAUACGUUCGGGUCUUCGCUGAUUCGAGCAAAGCCUUCGGGCGCUUCAGGAUGGGCCUGCGGCGGAUUAGCUGGUUGGUGGGGUAAUGGCCUACCAAGGCGAUGAUCCGUAGGGGGCGUGAGAGCGUGACCCCCCACAUUGGCACUGAGACACGGGCCAAACUCCUACGGGAGGCAGCAGUGAGGAAUAUUGCACAAUGGGCGCAAGCCUGAUGCAGCAACGCCGCGUGAGGGACGAAGGCCUUCGGGUCGUAAACCUCUUUUCUGGGGGAAGAGACAAGGACGGUACCUCAGGAAUAAGUCUCGGCUAACUACGUGCCAGCAGCCGCGGUAAAACGUAGGAGGCGAGCGUUAUCCGGAUUUACUGGGCGUAAAGCGCACGCGGGCGGCUUCGUGAGUCGGAUGUGAAAGCUCCUGGCUUAACUGGGAGAGGCCAUUCGAUACUGCGGGGCUUGAGGUUGGGAGAGGGGUGUGGAAUUCCCGGUGUAGUGGUGGAAUGCGUAGAUAUCGGGAGGAACACCAGUGGCGAAGGCGGCACCCUGGCCCACACCUGACGCUGAGGUGCGAAAGCGUGGGUAGCAAACAGGAUUAGAUACCCUGGUAGUCCACGCCGUAAACCAUGUCAACUAGGUGUUGGUAGUGUUACACUAUCAGUGCCGCAGCUAACGCGUUAAGUUGACCGCCUGGGGACUACGGCCGCAAGGCUAAAACUCAAA